rnacentral:rRNA from 1 species
AGAGUUUGAUCCUGGCUCAGGACGAACGCUGGCGGCGUGCUUAACACAUGCAAGUCGAACGGAAAGGUCUCUUCGGAGAUACUCGAGUGGCGAACGGGUGAGUAACACGUGGGUGAUCUGCCCUGCACUUUGGGAUAAGCCUGGGAAACUGGGUCUAAUACCGGAUAGGACUAUGGGAUGCAUGUCCUGUGGUGGAAAGCUAUUUGCGGUGUGGGAUGGGCCCGCGGCCUAUCAGCUUGUUGGUGGGGUGAUGGCCUACCAAGGCGACGACGGGUAGCCGGCCUGAGAGGGUGUCCGGCCACACUGGGACUGAGAUACGGCCCAGACUCCUACGGGAGGCAGCAGUGGGGAAUAUUGCACAAUGGGCGCAAGCCUGAUGCAGCGACGCCGCGUGGGGGAUGACGGCCUUCGGGUUGUAAACCUCUUUCACCAUCGGCGAAGCCGGGGGCUUUUGUUUUCGGUGACGGUAGGUGGAGAAGAAGCACCGGCCAACUACGUGCCAGCAGCCGCGGUAAUACGUAGGGUGCGAGCGUUGUCCGGAAUUACUGGGCGUAAAGAGCUCGUAGGUGGUUUGUCGCGUUGUCCGUGAAAUUCCCUGGCUUAACUGGGGGCGUGCGGGCGAUACGGGCAGACUGGAGUACUGCAGGGGAGACUGGAAUUCCUG